UACGUAGGGUGCAGGCGUUAAUCGGAAUUACUGGGCUUAAAGCGUGCGCAGGCGGUCUUUUAAGUCAGAUGUGAAAUCCCCGGGCUUAACCUGGGAACUGCGUUUGAAACUGGAAGGCUUGAGUGUGGCAGAGGGGGGUGGAAUUCCACGUGUAGCAGUGAAAUGCGUAGAGAUGUGGAGGAACACCGAUGGCGAAGGCAGCCCCCUGGGCUAACACUGACGCUCAUGCACGAAAGCGUGGGGAGCAAACAGG
rnacentral:rRNA from 1 species